CCUACGGGAUGCAGCAGUGAGGAAUAUUGGUCAAUGGGCGGAAGCCUGAACCAGCCAAGUAGCGUGCGGGAUGAAGGCCCUAUGGGUCGUAAACCGCUUUUGCACGGGGAUAACACCCUCCACUUGUGGAGGUCUGCAGGUACCGUGCGAAUAAGGGCCGGCUAAUUCCGUGCCAGCAGCCGCGGUAAUACGGAAGGCCCGAGCGUUAUCCGGAUUCAUGGGGCUUAAAGGGAGCGUAGGCGGGCGUUCAAGUCAGCGGUCAAAGCCCGGGGCUCAACCCCGGCCCGCCGUUGAAACUGGCAGUCUCGAGUUGGAGAGAAGUAUGCGGAAUGCGCGUUGUAGCGGUGAAAUGCAUAGAUAUCGCGCAGAACUCCGAUUGCGAAGGCAGCAUGCCGGCUCCACACUGACGCUGAGGCACGAAAGCGUGGGUAUCGAACAGGAUUAGAUACCCGAGUAGUC
rnacentral:rRNA from 1 species